rnacentral:lncRNA from 1 species
AAAUAUCUAAGGGGAUUGGGAAACACUUCUAAACACGUUGGACCUAUGUGAUCCAUAUAUACAAAAUUAAAGAGAUUGGGAAACACUUGGGUAUAAUAUAAUGUUUGUUCUUGGGAAUUUGAGUCGCUAUUUCCUUGUAACUCAUUUGUAAUCUUUUAGAAGUACAGUGAAUCAGAGAGAUGCUCUUUCCUCCCGUGUAGAUCAU